rnacentral:rRNA from 1 species
CCUACGGGAGGCAGCAGUGGGGAAUAUUGCACAAUGGGCGCAAGCCUGAUGCAGCCAUGCCGCGUGUGUGAAGAAGGCCUUCGGGUUGUAAAGCACUUUCAGCGGGGAGGAAGGCGUUAAGGUUAAUAACCUCGUCGAUUGACGUUACCCGCCGAAGAAGCACCGGCUAACUCCGUGCCAGCAGCCGCGGUAAUACGGAGGGUGCAAGCGUUAAUCGGAAUUACUGGGCGUAAAGCGCACGCAGGCGGUCUGUCAAGUCGGAUGUGAAAGCCCCGGGCUCAACCUGGGAACUGCAUUCGAAACUGGCAGGCUAGAGUCUUGUAGAGGGGAGUAGAAUUCCAGGUGUAGCGGUGAAAUGCGUAGAGAUCUGGAGGAAUACCGGUGGCGAAGGCGGCCCCCUGGACAAAGACUGACGCUCAGGUGCGAAAGCGUGGGGAGCAAACAGGAGUAGAUACCCUGGUAGUC